rnacentral:rRNA from 1 species
UACGUAGGGGGCUAGCGUUGUCCGGAAUCAUUGGGCGUAAAGCGCGUGUAGGCGGCCCGGUAAGUCCGCUGUGAAAGUCGGGGGCUCAACCCUCGAAAGCCGGUGGAUACUGUCGGGCUAGAGUACGGAAGAGGCGAGUGGAAUUCCUGGUGUAGCGGUGAAAUUCGUAGAUAUCAAGCGGAACACCGGUGGCGAAGGCGGCCUUCUGGACAGUGACUGACGCUGAGACGCGAAAGCGUGGGGAGCAAACAGG